UUCUAGCUUUAUAAUACGUUAUAGGUACAUACAUAAAGACCUACAUUUUUAUUAUAAAACUCAAUUAUAAUUAUUGCAAGACGAACAUCACCAGCAUGUUUCAAUUUUCAAUGCGAGAACUGUGAUGCCAUAAUGGCAGAAGCCACUUUCUUGUCUACAUCUCAAAAAAUAGAAAUUGCACGGGCGUGAAAUCUACGUACAGCAGUGAUGAGAUUCUGGAAUUCCAUUGUCUGCAAUGUCUACUCCUAUAAUUGAAGAGCAGAUGGAAGAAGCUGUAGUUUUGCAAAAUUUCAUGAUCGAUGAUGAUGCUGAUGAUUAUGAGAAUUCUCAAUUUCAACAACUUCCGGCCACUUCCUCCUUCAACGAUAAACUGUCGGUUCCUGCUGCCUAGAACCAUAGAUGAAGGAUAAUAUUUAUAUUUCUUGUCUCUGCUAGAACGUAGUGGUCAUUUUAUAAUCACUUCUUCCAUUACCAACACACAAGCCAAGGGCUCAUGUGGGUAUCACACUCCAAAAAUAAUACUUCGACACUGCAGUAUUUCAGCACUUGUUUAUAAUAAACAAUGACGAUUUUCUAAGAGAAGAAUAGUUUG